rnacentral:lncRNA from 1 species
CCAAGCCCGCGUCCCGGAUGUAGAAGUAGCUGGGCGGCCGCUCUUCUCGGUCGUGUACCCCCUAAAGAGCUUGGUGCAGGAGAGUCCUGAGGCACAGCCUGAAAAAUCUGAGUGUCAGUGCGGUGGAAAUGAAGGCAACCCUUUGCAUUCCCAUGACGGAAUCUUCAUGUUGAGCCCUUCUUCAUGGACGAAUAUGCAUGUGCUAAAAUUGUUGAAGCUAGACUUUCAAGUAGGUGUGAGCCACCUGAAGUACAUACUGUGACCAACUGCAGUCUUCUGGAAGAACAAGUGCUUUUCACAACUGAGCCUUACCUCCAGACCCUCAUGGUAAGUAGUUUAAGUUGUUAAUAUUUAUUUUGGGAUGAUCUCAGUCCUUAUGAACUGACUUUGUUUGCCAUUAAUUAACAUCCUGUCACACAAACAAUAAAUAACUGAGACCAAGUGCUUCAAGAAUUUACCCUCAACAUCUUUAUCUAAAAUGUUUAAUUGUAGGAAAAUUUAAAUUAUGAUGCAUUAAACUCUUACACACACACACACACACACACACACUUGCCCUUUUGAGACAAGAUUAUGCUAUAUAACCCACAGUGCCCAGGUUGACCUUGAACUCCUGAUUCUCC